rnacentral:rRNA from 1 species
AGGGCAAGUCUGGUGCCAGCAGCCGCGGUAAUUCCAGCUCCAAUAGCGUAUAUUAAAGUUGUUGCAGUUAAAAAGCUCGUAGUUGAAUUUCGGGGUUCUACCGUUGGUCGGGCUUUGUCUGUACUGGCGUGUAGAAUUUCUACCUUCUGGGGAACCAUUAUGUUAUUAAUUUAGCGUAGUGGGAAACCAGGACCUUUACCUUGAAAAAAUUAGAGUGUUCAAAGCAGGCUUAUGUCUGAAUACAUUAGCAUGGAAUAAUAGAAUAGGACGGUGGUCCUGUUUUGUUGGUUUCUGAAUCACCGUAAUGAUUAAUAGGGAUAGUUGGGGGCAUUAGUAUUCAAUUGUCAGAGGUGAAACUCUUGGAUUUAUUGAAGACUAACUUCUGCGAAAGCAUUUGCCAAGGAUGUUUUCAUUAAUCAAGAACGAAAGUUAGGGGAUCGAAGACGAUCAGAUACCGUCGUAGUCUUAACCAUAAACUAUGCCGACUAGGGAUCGGACGAUGUUAAUUUUUCUUGACUCGUUCGGCGCCUUACGGGAA